rnacentral:lncRNA from 1 species
CUUUGACUUUGCUCAUGUCAGGACGAGGUUCUCCUCCUGUUCCUGACAUGGCUGUGGGGGCACAUUAGGGCAUUGUAAGGCCUCUCCCCCCAAUCCAAUUUUGAGAUAGUUGGACUUUCAUUUUAGGUAUGUUAGGAUGGGGUUCUCCCCCGUUCCUAACAUAACUUUGCUCCAAGCGUUUGGAGGGGUCAUAUCCAGUCGUAAUAAAUCCACGCCAGAUGGG